UUUCAAGGAAUUAUGAACCUGCACUCCAAGGUCUCUUUAUUCUGCAACACUCCCCUUAACUGUGUCAGUCCUGCCUGGAUUGCUUGACCAAAAUGCAACACCUCACAUUU